CACGUCUAAAUAUCUAAGAUGGCCUUUAUCAUGAAUCGUAAUUAUACUUUUGAUGUUAUCAUAAUAGUUUGGUGCUAGUUACAAGGCUGGUUACCUAAAACUCUUUAAAAACACAUGUUAAAUAGUCAUCAAACUAGUUCAAAUCAUGUUGUUUUGUUUAAAACAUUUCUGGGGACUGGUAAAUAGCAGUUAAAAUUUUUCAUGUCAGAGAAAAAUGAAUAACAUAAGAAUCUUUGAGUAUUAGUUAAUUUAGUUUGGUUUGGGAAUCUAUUUUACAAACCUAGUUGGAAUUCCAUGUUCUGCAUGCCACGUGUUAGCUAAGUGUGGCACAGUAUGCACUCACCAUGUCAGCCCAUGACCAACACUCAGACAAAAAGCAAUACUUUAGUCCUGGGUGUAUGCAGUGUAAGUGUUAGACCAAUCUUUAACAAAGUGGAGAGUCAAGUACAGCUCAUGGACAACAGAUUUUACAUGGUUUUGCCAAUUCUAUGGAUUAGAAUUCAUGUCAAGGAAUCACUCAUCACAAAAAGACAUCCUGAAAGUACAAUAAUUUCAGAGCCUUGUUGAGAUAAGUUAUGCACAGCAAUUGGUUACCAUCAAGGGUGUACCUGAUUCACUUAUAUAGACUCUACCAC
rnacentral:lncRNA from 1 species